UACGUAGGGGGCUAGCGUUGUUCGGAAUUACUGGGCGUAAAGGGCGCGUAGGCGGUGUGUCAAGUCAGGCGUGAAAGCCCCGGGCUCAACCUGGGAACCGCGCUUGAGACUGGCACGCUCGAGUGCGGGAGAGGAUGGUGGAAUUCCCAGUGUAGAGGUGAAAUUCGUAGAUAUUGGGAAGAACACCGAUGGCGAAGGCAGCCAUCUGGACCGACACUGACGCUGAGGCGCGAAAGCGUGGGGAGCAAACAGG
rnacentral:rRNA from 1 species